GGAAAGGUAACCUACAGAAGAUCCAUCAAAAAAAUACACCCACCUCUAAUGAACAUUUAACAAGCAUUUCAUCUGUCUAGAUCUGAGUGUCUCAAACACAUUCUCAAGUUACAGUUUCUUACAGAGCAUUGCAUGGAGUGCUUGUAAAGACCAGUUGACAAUUUAUAGAAGAUGGCUCUUGUCCUCUGCCAAAUGGGAACUGGAAUAGAGCUCAGGCCACUCAGGCACGAGCCUCCACGGAGCCACC
rnacentral:lncRNA from 1 species